rnacentral:lncRNA from 12 species
ACACUCUCAGGACGCACCAUGACACACGGCCUCCCACGCAGGACCCCUCUUCUCCACGAGCUAACUCCCCUCCCUGCAGCUCAGUUCCUUUACAUGCGGGACAGAGGUCAGCGCUUCCAGAGGGCGACCCGCCGCCCCACAUCACGGGAGACCGGAAGCCCUCAGGGCGGCAGCCGGGGUGGCCUGCUGUGACCUGGCCCCAUUCACUCGGACCCUGUUCCGGGACCCAGGCUGGUCCCCACCUCAGGGCCUUUGCACAGGCUGUUCCCCCGAAGGCUCUCGGCUUGACUCCCGCCCCCUGGGGCAGUUCUCAGCAAGGCCUCCCAUCUAAACCGGCUCCCACCUGCACCUUUCCUAAUCUCUAUUUUUCUUGGUUCCGCGAGGGGCCUAACACUCUCCCAACGGCGGCUCCUGGCCCGCCGGCUCACUGGGCUCUGGAGGACAGGGACUGCUUCGGUCACAGCCGCUCACGGCCGCAGAGCAAUGCCUGGCAUGCGGCUGCUGGUCAUCAAAUUUUGUUGAGUGAAUAACAGAAAAAAAUCCCGGGUGGCUGUCGAGCGACCUUUGUGUGCCACCAACACAUCCCCUGCUCCCAGAUGCGGCUCCUCCCACGCUGGCCACGGUGACGGAUGGGGAGUCGAGCGCGCCUCGCUCAGGGCCCAGCAGAGUCUAAGCCACAGCCAGGAGAAGGGCAGAUGUCCCCCCCGAGGGACAGACGGUGCUGCCGGGCGCAGCCGGGCCCUUCCCACCAGGCCGCCCGGUCACACAGCCUGGCCUGUAAUUCGGGCCCCAGUCAUCUCUCGCUCGAAGCCGGUUGGCACUGCAAUUCAGUCGCUUGCCACCAAGAGCGCCCCGGCACCCCGACGGCCAACAGACGGACACAGGGCGGGGCGGGGGGGUCAGGGCAGGCGUGGGAUCCCUGCAGCUCCCGUCACUUCCACGUCCUUUGCCUCCCCCGCCCCACGUGGGGCAGGGGGAUGGACUCGGGGAUCCGCACCCAUCAUUCCCUGACUGCGGCCCGGAGAGGUGGCGUGACCUCUGGGCCUCAGUGUCACCGCCUGGGAAGUGGGUCUGAUGCCCGCCUUGCAGGGCUGCAGGCGGGAGUCCAGAGUUUACGAUCUCAGGUGACCCUGGUGCCGAGCAGGUGACCCGCCUGAGGGGAGAGGGCAGGUGCCCCGUCAGGGUCCCUGGGCCUCCUGUUGCCGGAACCUCCCGUGUCCCAGCCAGUGUCGACAUGGAACCUCCACAGCUGUAUAUGCCGGCAGUGAACUGAAGCGUUUCUUCCGCAGCAGAGGGCGGAACAAGGCGCCCCCUGGGCCGCCAGCCUGGACCCCUGGACAGCAGCAGCCCCCCCCCCGCCCCCGGGCCCUCUCUUAACCCGCGAUAAACACAGAUUCCCUUCUCUGCCCUUCUAUUGGUUCUCGAAACAACAAAGUGUCCCCAAGCCACCCCUCCUGCGCUCCCCUCAUCCUCACCAUCUUCAUGCGGCUCCAGAGACAGCAGCCCGGGCCCGGCCGUCUGUCUGUCCGUCCAUCCACAUGCCCCCAGGGCCCCGAGCGCCCCCACCCAAGGCGCCUCGCCCUCCCCGGCUCCUCCUCCGGGGACACCUCGCCGCUGGCAAAUCCUCUCCCUUUGGUUUUCCCACUUCCCUUUCCAACAGCUCAUCGGGGUGCAGGGUGCGUUCGCAGUUAUUGGCGACCUGCGACCCACGGAGGAGGGACCGUCGCCUCGUCACACACACACACGAGGGAAGUGGGGCCCGAGGGGCGUGAGGCAGCAGACGAAACCGUGGUAAACACGUACUGUGCACCGGGCUCCGUUAAGUGGCAACCCCGGGGCCACGCGGAGUGUCCUUGGCUGCAGGGGACAGAAACCCAGGCCAGCGGGGCUCCGGCAGGGGGACAAGCUCGCGGCUCGGUGCUGCGGGGAGGGAAAGCUUGAGGCUCUGCAGACCCCUGGACGGGGUACAGGUGCUGUGAGCGUGCCCUGGCUCCUCCCGCCACCGCCGCCCCCUGCGUCCUCGGAGGCUCAUCCUGCCAGCACAGCCGCAACCUCUCCGGGUUAUACCGGGGACGCUGCCCCCGUCCCGUGUUCAAGAUCCCCGGGAGGGACCCCUAGGAGGUCCGUGGGGGUUCUGUUGUCACAGUG